AUUGAACGCUGGCGGCAUGCUUUACACAUGCGAGUCGAACGGCAGCGCGGGCUUCGGCCUGGCGGCGAGUGGCGAACGGGUGAGUAAUACAUCGGAACGUGCCCAGUAGUGGGGGAUAGCUCGGCGAAAGCCGGAUUAAUACCGCAUACGACCUGAGGGUGAAAGCGGGGGAUCUUCGGACCUCGCGCUAUUGGAGCGGCCGAUGGCAGAUUAGCUAGUUGGUGGGGUAAAGGCCUACCAAGGCGACGAUCUGUAGCUGGUCUGAGAGGACGACCAGCCAAACUUGGACUUGGGCACGGCCCCAGCUCCUUAGGGGAGGAGGCAUGGGGAAAUUUUGGCAAAGGGGCGAAAGCUUGACCAGGAAAGGCGCGUGUGUGAUGAAGGCCUUCGGGUUGUAAAGCACUUUUGGCGGGAACGAAAAGGACUGUGCCAAUACCACGGUUCGAUGACGGUACCCGCAGAAUAAGCACCGGCUAACUACGUG
rnacentral:rRNA from 1 species